ensembl:lncRNA novel transcript
UCAGGUAUCAGCACUUUGCUUAUUUCCGGCCGAAGCCCAGGAAGGGGAGAAUUAAAGUUGCAGAUGGAAGUUGUCAUAGGGGCCCUCAUAAGUGGAAGAAGAAGGUCAGUGUUAGAGAGACACAUGUGAGGAUGCUACGCUGCUGGCACUGCAGUUGGAAGAAGGGACCACAAGCCGAGGAAUGCAGGUAGCCUUUAGAAGCUGGAAGAGGCAAGGAAACAGGGACUCCCCUAAAGCCUCCAGAAAGGAAUGCAGCCCUGAUGACAAUAUGAUUUUAGCCCAGUGAGACCCAUUUCAGACUUCUGGGUGCUGAAACUAUACUACAAUAAAUUUGUAUUGUUUUAAGUAA